rnacentral:lncRNA from 1 species
CACUGAGCCUGGCUCGUNUAAAAUGGAGGGGAAAGCAAAUGCCAGGGCAAGCCAAUGCUUCGCUUCUCCCUCCUAAGAAGCCAAGAAGCCUUCACCUGGCCCAGCAACCAUGGGCCCCUCUCAGGCACAGCAUCCCUAGGUUGGGCCUUGGAACCACAGACAGAAUCGUCGAAUGGAAUGGUGGGGCUGAACAGAGGACAAGGGCCAUCUCGUCCAAUGAUGACAAGCCGAGGAAGGAACGCGGCUGGAAGGACACGUCAAGUUAAGCCGACUUCAAGCCCGCUGGAACCCGCCCUGCUUCGUCUGAACUACUUUGUUAAUUAUUGCAGGAACGUUCACUGGGGACACAUUUAUGCUCAGUGCUAUGUGCUGGAAGAUGNAGACCUGCUCCUGAAGAUGAGGAAGACUUGAUGUUCCACAACCUUAUUCGGGCAUAAGAUAUUUUAGUAUUGUGUAGGACAAUUGCUACUCAUAUGACCAGUGUCAAGNUUGAUAUCUAUCUAAGAAACUGCCCGUGUCUCACAUUAUUAUCUUUCUUUUUCUACAGCAAGGUACACAAAUGUGGCAAAGUUAAUCAUUCAAAAUUAAAUUGGUACAAUAUGGUAGUAUUCUGUCUAUCCACUUUGGUCAUUAUUGUCUUUUCAUUUUUUAAAGGAAAUAAUUUGUGAGUGGUAUUGNAAUUUAAUAAUGGUGUCCCCCCUUUUUACUGUAGCUAUUGAGUUCUAGAUCUAUUUUAAGCUAUACAGUUGGCUAUCACAAGAUGGAAUUAUGGCCUUUAAUUUGGAUGAGCUUUGAAUGGCAUCAGACUAAUUCAAGGAGGAUCAAGUAUCAACAACUGCUUAUUGUGAGGAUGAUGAUACAUACUGCAGUGGAGAAGGUGUGUCAGGAACAUGGAUGGCUGAGUGNUAUUGUCCUCAUAUUGCACUUGCUNGGGAGAUGUGUCUUAGGCCUGCUUGAGCAAUGCUCAUGUGAUUUUAUUUUUUAAGAUUACUAGGUCAAUGGUAAUGGAAGCAACCUGGAAAGCAGAGGGUUGCUGGUUUGAUCCCCGGCCUCUGUCUAGAAGUAGGCAAUAGCAAACAACUUCUGUAUCUCUGCAAAGAAAACUGCAUAGAGAUGUCCAUGGAGGUGCCCAUGCAGUCAACUAGGACUCAAACUGACUCAGCA